GGUUUUGUCUUGAUUUCAUCGCUUAUGCAGAUACCCAAAUGUCCAAACUUGUUACUACUCAAGAAUUCAUUGCUUACAGCUUCGUCACCUUCAAAACCAUCCACUACAGUUGCUGGCUUGCUGCUACCCUCGUUGCUUCGUUUCAUUCUACGCCUGUUACCUAUGAAAAAUGGAAGAGCAAAUGGAAUUUUGUAAAGAAAGUGGAUGAUUUGAGGAAGAAGCUUAGGAUGUGAGGUCUUCGUUGCCAUCCAAUGUAUUGCACGAACUCGAGUAGAAUACAAGUUGUUUCUCUCCUUGCAUCUCGCGCACAGGCACUCAGACUGAAUGUCGCCAACAUAUGUGUGGUCAUCAGUGAAACUGGAGACUCAGAUUACAAGGAACUGAUAGCCGGGGCUCAUAAGACAUUGAUCAUGAAGGAAGUGGUGACAAACGAUUCUGAAGCAUUGCUCCGAACAACAGACUAGAGAAACGACAUCGUUAACAGUUCCUAGAUCAGCAGUAUUAGAGGUGGAGCAACGCCAGAGGAGCUUUCUGAAGCUUUAAAAGCAUUGUCUAAAGCUGGCCUCUGAAAGUUGUUGUUUAGAGCAUGAAAUGGUAGUUUAAUCUCCAUGUUGCAAACAAACAUUAUUGUUAAAUAC